AUUGAACGCUGGCGGCAUGCCUUACACAUGCAAGUCGAACGGCAGCACGGGAGCAAUCCUGGUGGCGAGUGGCGAACGGGUGAGUAAUAUAUCGGAGCGUGCCCAGUCGUGGGGGAUAACGUAGCGAAAGCUACGCUAAUACCGCAUACGAUCUACGGAUGAAAGCGGGGGAUCGCAAGACCUCGCGCGAUUGGAGCGGCCGAUAUCAGAUUAGGUAGUUGGUGAGGUAAAAGCUCACCAAGCCGACGAUCUGUAGCUGGUUUGAGAGAACGACCAGCCACACUGGGACUGAGACACGGCCCAGACUCCUACGGGAGGCAGCAGUGGGGAAUUCUGGACAAUGGGCGAAAGCCUGAUCCAGCAAUGCCGCGUGCAGGAUGAAGGCCUGGUGUAACUGCUUGUACGACGAACGGUGAGC
rnacentral:rRNA from 1 species